UUUAAAGCAGCAAAAGAAAAACAACUCAACACAUACAAAGAAACCUCCACAAGAUUAUCAGUGGGUUUCUCACCAAAAACCCUGCAGACCAAGAUAGAGUGGAAUGAUAUACUCAAAGUGCUGGAAGAAAAAAAACUGCCAACCAAAAACAUACUCAGCAAAGCCAUCUUUCAAAAAGGAAAGAAAGAUAAAGACCUUCCCAGACAAACCAAAACUGAGGAAGUUCAUCACCCCUGGACUUGCCUUACAAGAAAUAUGAAAGGGAGACCUUCAAGUUGAAAUGAAAGGAAUAUGUAUCAGCAACAUGAAAACAUACACUCACUGAUAAAGCAGAAGACUAGAAGUUUAUCGUCUGCUAGAGCAGAGGGGGACGCUGGACUUCGGACAUCAGGUAAAUGUGCCCUGUGGAACAAAAGAAAAUGUAACAAAAGCAACACACUGAAUGGUGACUCCCCAGUCCUCUUCAAAUACUGCC
rnacentral:lncRNA from 1 species